GACCUCGGAUCAGGUAGGGAUACCCGCUGAACUUAAGCAUAUCAAUAAGCGGAGGAAAAGAAACCAACAGGGAUUGCCUCAGUAACGGCGAGUGAAGCGGCAACAGCUCAAAUUUGAAAUCUGGCCUUAAGCGGGGUCCGAAUUGUAAUUUGCAGAGGGCGUUUCGGGCGACGCGCCGGUCUAAGUCCCUUGGAACGGGGCGUCAUGGAGGGUGAGAAUCCCGUAUGUGACCGGCGACCGAGCCUGUGUGAAACCCCUUCGACGAGUCGAGUUGUUUGGGAAUGCAGCUCAAAGCGGGUGGUAAAUUUCAUCUAAAGCUAAAUACCGGCCAGAGACCGAUAGCGCACAAGUAGAGUGAUCGAAAGAUGAAAAGCACUUUGGAAAGAGAGUCAAAAAGUACGUGAAAUUGUUGAAAGGGAAGCGCUUGCAACCAGAUCUGCCCGCGGGUGAUCAGCUGUCCUUCGGGGCGGUGCACUCACCCGCGAUCAGGCCAGCAUCGGUUCGGGCGGCCGGAUAAAGGCCUUGGGAACGUGGCUCCCCUCGGGGAGCGUUAUAGCCCAGGGUGCAAUGCGGCCCGCCCGGACCGAGGACCGCGCUUCGGCUAGGAUGCUGGCGUAAUGGUUGUAAGCGGCCCGUCUUGAAACACGGACCAAGGAGUCGACCAACCGUGCGAGUGUUUGGGCGUCAAACCCACACGCGCAAUGAAAGUGAACGGAGGUGGGAACCCCUCGCGGGGCGCACCAUCGACCGAUCCAGAUGUCUUCGGAUGGAUUUGAGUACGAGCAUGGCUGGUCGGACCCGAAAGAUGGUGAACUAUGCCUGGAUAGGGUGAAGCCAGAGGAAACUCUGGUGGAGGCUCGCAGCGGUUCUGACGUGCAAAUCGAUCGUCAAAUUUGGGCAUAGGGGCGAAAGACUAAUCGAACCAUCUAGUAGCUGGUUCCAGCCGAAGUUC
rnacentral:rRNA from 1 species